rnacentral:rRNA from 1 species
GGAGCUUGACGGUACUGUAAGAAUAAGGAUCGGCUAACUCCGUGCCAGCAGCCGCGGUAAUACGGAGGAUCCAAGCGUUAUCCGGAAUCAUUGGGUUUAAAGGGUCCGUAGGCGGUUUGGAAGUCAGUGGUGAAAGCCCAUCGCUCAACGGUGGAACGGCCAUUGAUACUGCCAGACUUGAAUUACUGGGAAGUAACUAGAAUAUGUAGUGUAGCGGUGAAAUGCUUAGAGAUUACAUG